CUCCCUUUGAGCAAUACCGUUCACCUGCUUCCUUCCUUAUUUGAUGUUAUAGGACCCCCUUCUCUGCCUCUGUCUUCCAUACCUACUGGGACAAACAUGAUUUGGACAGAAAAUGAAGCCAGCACAACCUUCAAAAUAUCUGCCUGAGGGAAAAAAAUGGACUUGCUCUAACAACCUGAACAAACAUUAUUUCCAGAACUAAUUUUCCACUUAUCUGGCUCUUGCCAUCCAUAUUUUUAAUAUCCUGUGAUGUCUGUGAACAAUUUAAAAUUGAAAGUCACUAUGUGCAAACUGUCACAGUCAAGAGCAUGUUUUGUGUCCAUUUCAUUUGUUUAAUGUUUUAUAUUUUAAAAUUCCUUUUGAUGGCAAUUACUUAAGCUAACCAAAGUAGCUAUUGUUUUUCUCAAUUUAUAGGUACGAAUUUAUAAAAUUUAAGUGAUUUAUUCUAGAUCUCCUUGCUGGGGCUUCAAACUUUCUGUUAUUAAUUUGUAAAUAAGGACACAUGCUCACUCAAAAUUAUAUAACAUGCUGCAGAGUAAUUUUAUAUUGCUUUUCCUAUUUACCAACAGCUUCCCUUCUACAGGUUGAGAAAGAAAGAGAUAAUGCAAGUGUAUCUAACAACAGCAAAUCUUUGUUAGUACUUACUGAGCCAAGCUCUGUGCCAAAUACUUUGCAUUUGUGAUAUUUAUAUUUAGAACAUACUUACGGGGUUGGCAUUUGUAUUACUCUUAUUUUGGAUGAACUCGCUGAUGCUUUUGAAAAUAAAGUUGCCUAUUAAGUGGCAGAGCUGGGAUUAGAACCCAGGUCAUUGGAAUCCAACACCCAUAUUCUGAAUUACUACAAUACACUUGCCCUUUUUACUUUGUGGAAGCAACUAAAUUAUGUUUAUGCAUCCUCCAGAUAUGUACAUUGUUUUAGAUAACACAUUCCUAUAUUUUAAUUACUGGAUCAUACAGACCAUAUAGGUCAUAAUUUUUAAUAUGUUGGUGGUAAAUAUAUGUUUAAACACUGAAAAUCUCUGCCAAAAUACAUUUAAUUCUUUUACACACUCUAUAGGUAUUUUGAUUUCAACCAAAUUCAACAAACAUACAGUGAUACACUCUAUGUAGAAAUAAAUUAUACGUGGCACUAUGAGAUCUCAAAGGUAAAUAUAACAGAUUUCUAAUCCUGAAGGAAAAAUGUCUUAUUACUGUAAAAUUCUAAUAAACAAAUCUAACUGGAAAU
rnacentral:lncRNA from 1 species